GAAAAUAAACGCAAAAGAUAAAAUAAAAAAAAUAUAAAUAAAUCUUUUUUUUUUUUGAAUUUUUGGGUUGUGAAGAACAAAAGCGAUAAAGAACUCUAAAAAUAAACUACAAAACUCUUUUUUUGAUUCACCUUUUUUUUUUUUUUUGAUUUUUCAUUGCCUACACACUUUACUUCCAACACAUGUUUUUCCCCAAAUCCGUCUGUCAAAUGACCACGUUACCUUUAGAGAU
rnacentral:lncRNA from 1 species